AAAUUGAAGAGUUUGAUCAUGGCUCAGAUUGAACGCUGGCGGCAGGCCUAACACAUGCAAGUCGAACGGUAACAGGAAGCAGCUUGCUGCUUCGCUGACGAGUGGCGGACGGGUGAGUAAUGUCUGGGAAACUGCCUGAUGGAGGGGGAUAACUACUGGAAACGGUGGCUAAUACCGCAUAACGUCGCAAGACCAAAGAGGGGGGACCUUCGGGCCUCUUGCCAUCAGAUGUGCCCAGAUGGGAUUAGCUAGUUGGUGAGGUAACGGCUCACCAAGGCGACGAUCCCUAGCUGGUCUGAGAGGAUGACCAGCCACACUGGAACUGAGACACGGUCCAGACUCCUACGGGAGGCAGCAGUGGGGAAUAUUGCACAAUGGGCGCAAGCCUGAUGCAGCCAUGCCGCGUGUAUGAAGAAGGCCUUCGGGUUGUAAAGUACUUUCAGCGGGGAGGAAGGUGUUGUGGUUAAUAACCGCAGCAAUUGACGUUACCCGCAGAAGAAGCACCGGCUAACUCCGUGCCAGCAGCCGCGGUAAUACGGAGGGUGCAAGCGUUAAUCGGAAUUACUGGGCGUAAAGCGCACGCAGGCGGUCUGUCAAGUCGGAUGUGAAAUCCCCGGGCUCAACCUGGGAACUGCAUUCGAAACUGGCAGGCUUGAGUCUUGUAGAGGGGGGUAGAAUUCCAGGUGUAGCGGUGAAAUGCGUAGAGAUCUGGAGGAAUACCGGUGGCGAAGGCGGCCCCCUGGACAAAGACUGACGCUCAGGUGCGAAAGCGUGGGGAGCAAACAGGAUUAGAUACCCUGGUAGUCCACGCCGUAAACGAUGUCUACUUGGAGGUUGUGCCCUUGAGGCGUGGCUUCCGGAGCUAACGCGUUAAGUAGACCGCCUGGGGAGUACGGCCGCAAGGUUAAAACUCAAAUGAAUUGACGGGGGCCCGCACAAGCGGUGGAGCAUGUGGUUUAAUUCGAUGCAACGCGAAGAACCUUACCUGGUCUUGACAUCCACAGAACUUUCCAGAGAUGGAUUGGUGCCUUCGGGAACUGUGAGACAGGUGCUGCAUGGCUGUCGUCAGCUCGUGUUGUGAAAUGUUGGGUUAAGUCCCGCAACGAGCGCAACCCUUAUCCUUUGUUGCCAGCGAUUAGGUCGGGAACUCAAAGGAGACUGCCAGUGAUAAACUGGAGGAAGGUGGGGAUGACGUCAAGUCAUCAUGGCCCUUACGACCAGGGCUACACACGUGCUACAAUGGCGCAUACAAAGAGAAGCGACCUCGCGAGAGCAAGCGGACCUCAUAAAGUGCGUCGUAGUCCGGAUUGGAGUCUGCAACUCGACUCCAUGAAGUCGGAAUCGCUAGUAAUCGUGGAUCAGAAUGCCACGGUGAAUACGUUCCCGGGCCUUGUACACACCGCCCGUCACACCAUGGGAGUGGGUUGCAAAAGAAGUAGGUAGCUUAACCUUCGGGAGGGCGCUUACCACUUUGUGAUUCAUGACUGGGGUGAAGUCGUAACAAGGUAACCGUAGGGGAACCUGCGGUUGGAUCACCUCCUUA
rnacentral:rRNA from 1 species